CCAGGGGAGCUCUCAUGCUCAAAACCCUAAUGUGCAAAAAUUGAUCAAAUCAAGAGGCCAAAUCAAACCCAAAUCGAAAUCCAAGCACAAAUUAGUGAUAACCUCAGCGAAGUGAUCACAAGGCAAGGAAUCCGGAUCGUCAAGUGGAUAAGCCGGUGGAGAUACGCGUUUGAAAAGUGUGCUCUAAAGGUGAUGGUGGACCUAAUCCGGAUGGCGAUCAAGCAGUUAUCAAGAACCGAACGCACUAAACAAAGCUUCCGCACUUGAUUUAUUUUGUUUUAGUAAUAUGUAAACACUUG